rnacentral:tRNA from 1 species
GUUCUUGUAGUUAAAAAAUAACGGUGGUUUUUCAAGCCAUUAUUCCUGGUUAAAGUCCUGGCAGGAACC